rnacentral:rRNA from 1 species
UGUGAGGCAUGCUGGAGGUAUCAGAAGUGCGAAUGCUGACAUAAGUAACGAUAAAGCGGGUGAAAAGCCCGCUCGCCGGAAGACCAAGGGUUCCUGUCCAACGUUAAUCGGGGCAGGGUGAGUCGACCCCUAAGGCGAGGCCGAAAGGCGUAGUCGAUGGGAAACAGGUUAAUAUUCCUGUACUUGGUGUUACUGCGAAGGGGGGACGGAGAAGGCUAUGUUGGCCGGGCGACGGUUGUCCCGGUUUAAGCGUGUAGGCUGGUUUUCCAGGCAAAUCCGGAAAAUCAAGGCUGAGGCGUGAUGACGAGGCACUACGGUGCUGAAGCAACAAAUGCCCUGCUUCCAGGAAAAGCCUCUAAGCAUCAGGUAACAUCAAAUCGUACCCCAAACCGACACAGGUGGUCAGGUAGAGAAUACCAAGGCGCUUGAGAGAACUCGGGUGAAGGAACUAGGCAAAAUGGUGCCGUAACUUCGGGAGAAGG